rnacentral:tRNA from 1 species
CCCCUGGUGGUCCAGUGGUUAGGACUCCGUGCUUCCAUUGCAUAGGGACCAGGUUUAACCCCUGGUCAGGGAA